rnacentral:rRNA from 1 species
UACGGGGGGGGCAAGCGUUGUUCGGAAUUACUGGGCGUAAAGGGCUCGUAGGUGGCCAACUAAGUCAGACGUGAAAUCCCUCGGCUUAACCGGGGAACUGCGUCUGAUACUGGAUGGCUUGAGUUUGGGAGAGGGAUGCGGAAUUCCAGGUGUAGCGGUGAAAUACGUAGAUAUCUGGAGGAACACCGGUGGCGAAGGCGGCAUCCUGGACCAACACUGACACUGAGGAGCGAAAGCCAGGGGAGCAAACGGG